ACCAUUCCGGUGGCUUAAGUGGUUAGAGCGUCCGCCUCGGAUACGGAAGGUCGUGGGUUUAAACCCCGACAAAGUCAUAGGUA